AUACGGAGGGUGCAAGCGUUACUCGGAAUCACUGGGCGUAAAGCGCGCGCAGGCGGCCAUUUAAGUUGGAUGUGAAAGCCUACGGCUCAACCGUAGAACUGCAUCCAAAACUAUUUGGCUAGAGUGUGGGAGAGGAAGAUGGAAUUAGUUGUGUAGGGGUAAAAUCCGUAGAGAUAACUAGGAAUACCAAAAGCGAAGGCAAUCUUCUGGAACACUACUGACGCAGAGGCGCGAAAGCGUGGGGAGCAAACGGGAUUAGAAACCCCAGUAGUCC
rnacentral:rRNA from 1 species